AUUGAACGCUGGCGGCAUGCUUUACACAUGCAAGUCGAACGGCAACGCGGGCUUCGGCCUGGCGGCGAGUGGCGAACGGGUGAGUAAUAUAUCGGAACGUACCCAAGAGUGGGGGAUAACGUAGCGAAAGUUACGCUAAUACCGCAUACGAUCUAAGGAUGAAAGCAGGGGAUCGCAAGACCUUGUGCUCCUGGAGCGGCCGAUAUCUGAUUAGCUAGUUGGUGAGGUAAAGGCUCACCAAGGCAACGAUCAGUAGCUGGUCUGAGAGGACGACCAGCCACACUGGAACUGAGACACGGUCCAGACUCCUACGGGAGGCAGCAGUGGGGAAUUUUGGACAAUGGGGGCAACCCUGAUCCAGCAAUGCCGCGUGAGUGAAGAAGGCCUUCGGGUUGUAAAGCUCUUUUGUACGGAACGAAACGGUCCUGGUUAAUACCUGGGGCUAAUGACGGUACCGUAAGAAUAAGCACCGGCUAACAACGUGCCAGCCGCCGCAGUAACAC
rnacentral:rRNA from 1 species